rnacentral:lncRNA from 1 species
UGUUAAUGUACAAUUUUGUAAAAUUAAAGUCUAUGUAGGUUUAUUGGCAAAGUAAUUAAUAAGUACUCUCUUUUAUACAUUGUAUCUGACAUAGGAAGGCCACACUGUCAUAUGAAGACCUGGCUUAUAUCCAUUUGCUUUGACUAAGUCUAUUUCUGAUCAUCAACACUGUUUCCUAACCAUGUAAGAGAUUUAAAGUUAUACUUUGAUUUUUGUCAGUGUUGCUAACAUAUGCAGGCCUCUGAUUAUAGUUACCCUAAAUAAUAGAUUCUAAUUUCUUUUGAAAGUUAAACUUAGUUAAUAUCAGGACAUCAAUGUAACUGUGAGAUGUUUUCAUUUUCCCCAAGUGAACAGUCUUUUAAAAUAUAAAACUUAGGAGAGCAAUUUAUCAAACUGAUAUUCUUCAAACUAAAGCUGUGUGUAGUGAUAGUCUCUUUCAGACUUACAUAAAAAUAACAAAUUAAGUUGGGAAUUUAUUUAUGUCAUUAACAUUUUGUAAUUGCAUAAAAAUAACCUGUCAUUCAUAAGCAAUAUAUAAAGAUCUUGUGCUACUAUGUACACUGGGAUGGUAAUAUAAAUAUAUUUUUGAAAGGUAAUCAGAAAAGCCUGAUUUACUUAAAGGUUAAUAAUGUGGAACAUAAAAACAUUUUGCCACUUUUUUCAAAAAAGGAACAUUAAAAGCUCUCUUUGCUUUUGUUUGAUUCAUUUUUCACAUGUAAUGUAUUAUAUAAACUUAUACUCUCAUAGACUCAGGAAACAAUAUAUGAAAAUUUUGUAAAAUGACAUUUACUACGAAAGAGGCAAAGAUCAACUUCAGAACAAAAACACUUUACCUAAGAUUAAUCAAGAGCCUUUCCUCACCUAAUAUAAGGCUCUGCCUCUCACCUUAUUGCAUGUUAGGAUGGCACCAAAGUAGGAUAGACUUAAGGCUAUUUAAAGUUAUGCUCAAAGGAUAGAUUUUUGUUGCAAAGAUUCCUGUGAUCUCAAUAAAAAAUUGGAGAUAUAGUACAAAACUUAAAACUUAAGUAAAGGUUUGGAUGAAUUAUAAAAUGUAUUUAAGGUUGUAAAAGAGUUUCAAAAGAAAGUAAAAUUUAUAAAGGAUUUUGUAUGUGAUUGAGUUGAUAAAUUUAUGGGUCUUUGUGGAGGCAAAAUAGAUAACAAAGAUAUAUUAGCAAUGUUAUAGAAAUCAUGUUUCUUGGUUUGUAGCUAUUAUACAAACUGAAUAUGUUUUUGCUCUUGUUAACUUCAUUUUAUAUUUUCCUGUAAGAUUUUGUAACUGUUGCCUGUUAGUGUUUUGUAAAAGUACUUCCUCUAAGAGAACAACUUGAUUUAAUUUGAGAUAAUAAGCCAUCACCUAUAGGACAGACAGGAUAUAAACCUUACUUCUGGUGCUAAUAUUGACCCCAAUUAAAUGGAAGGAGUAACUAUAAAAUUAUAAACAUUGAAGUUAAAACCCAGUAGUUUGACUUCAAUACUGGUGAAUCUUACCUGCUGGCUGUCCAAAAUUUGGAGACCAAAGUCAAGGAAGAAAAAGGGCCAAGGAAAAAGCAGCAAUAUUUUUUGGCCCGUGCCCUCUAAUGUCAACCAAGAUUGAGGGAAUAGUAUGACCUUUCUCUGGGCUUGCAUAUCCCAUGAUUCCCCUGACCUCCUGAUCAGAUGGAUCAUAAGUAUCCUAGGCAACAGAAGCCAACCAGUGCACAUUCUGCAAAGAGCAGGGUCAUGGGAGAAGGAAAUGUCCCUGAUGCUUCCAAGGGAAGUUAUAUGUAGUCAGCAAGAUUCCGACCCAUCCUGGCAGAUGGCACAACUGAUAGAAGGCGGCGAAAGGAGCCAAGAGGCUUCUCACAAUUCCCAAGAGUGAUAGCCAACAGAUAUCAGCUGGCUCUUACAACACAUAGGAAAAGGUCAGUGUUGACCAACUUGAUUUUAAACACCUGGCAGGAGAGUACAAUCAAAGCACAGCCAUACACGUCUUUCCUUUUAAAAGAAAAGACAGUGGUUCUCUUACGUAACUUGAGGCGUACAUUUAGAUCAGUCCCCCCAAAAGUAGGUAAAGUUGGGAGGUUAUAAAGGGAAGGUUUUUAUACAGGAGUGUCUGAUAUUUAGCACAAAAACUCUGUGUCACAAGUUUGUUCUGAGUCAAUUUAAGACCUCUCUGUGUUUCUUUCUUUCUCUUCUUUUUGCUGGUAUGAUCAUCAUGACCUGCUGCUCAGACUCCUCCUCUGGGGUUGGCAUUUCAUCACUUCCCACCUGGCAACUUGAUUUUAAACCUGGAAAGAAGACAAGCCUCAACUGAGCUGGAAAGAACCUUACCAAGUGCCCCUGAUCACCAGGACAGCUAUCUGAACUGCUAAAAAGGGGAGAACUCAUUACCAUCAGCGUUCUCUACUUCAGAAAGUUACUAUGGCUAGGAAGAAUGGCAAUAUGGGGGGCUGGGGAUGUGGCUCAAGCGGUAGCGCACUCGCCUGGCAUGCGUGCGGCGUGGGUUCGAUCCUCAGCACCACAUACAAACAAAGAUGUUGUGUCCGCCAAAAACUAAGAAAAAAAAGAAAAGAAUGGCAAUAUAAAAGGUUAGAAGAACAAAAAUGACAAUGAGACUGAAAGGUAUUUUAAAAAAGUGGCGGGGGGGAAUGCUUGGGGGAAAUAGAAAGUCUGGUGGUCUGUUUUCAGAAUAUAAUACUUAGCCUUAAAUGUAAAAUUGGGGUAAGAUCCAAUCAUAGCCUUAACUUUAGUGCUUCCUACAGCCUCCCCAAUUUUAAAAUUAGCCAAUUGUGUAGAUUGUAACCCAGAGCUCCUCCUAUCAGAGCAAGCAGCAGUGCUGCAUUAGGGUUAAAAAACCAGUGGACUGUCGACCCAGGUGUGCUUUCUUUCCAGACUUUGUUCAAUAGCACACCCUUCUGCAGAAGUAGAGUUUGCCUGGCUGAAUAACUUUUGAGCAUAUGCAAGAUUUCUUGCAGCACCCCAAUAUUUCUAACAGACUAAGCCCCUAUAACAAAAGAUAGAUUAACAAAGUCCCUUAUCAGGUAGGUGAUUUGCAAAUAUUUUCUCCCAUUUCAUGGGUUGUCUUUUUACUGUUAUGGAGACAUCAUUUGUGAUACAAAACUUUUUAAUUUUGACACAACUCAGUUAAUUAUUUUUUCUUUUGUUGCUGUACUUUUGCUGUUAAGAAAUCACUGAUUAUCAAAGGCCAUAAAAUUAGUCCUAUGUUUUUUAAUGAGGUGUAUAGUUUCAGCUCUUUAAUUUAGGUCCAUAGUCCAUUUCAAGUUAGUGUUUGAAUAUGGCUUGAAGUAAAGAUCCAAUUUAUCCUCUUGCAUAGGUGGGUUGAUAUUCAUAUCACAUAUCAUAGCACCAUAUUUGGAAGUAUUCUUUUCUUAUUAAAUUGUCUUGGCAGUCUUGUUUAAAAUCAAUUGACCAUAAAUGAAUAAACUUAUUGUUUGUAAGCCUCUUUAUUGAAGUAUGAUUGGCAUAUAAAAUGCUUUAUAUUUUAUCUUAUAUAACUUGAUGAGUUUGGAGAUAAGUAUAUAUGACCUCCAAAACCACCCAUUCUCUUUAGUGUGUGUGAAUGUGUGUGUGUGUGUGUGUGUGUGAGAGAGAGAGAGAGAGAGAGAGAAACAAUUAACACAAGAUCUACACUGGCAUUCAGUUUUUAAGUAUAGAGUACUAUAUUAUUAAUUAAAGGCAGUAUGCUAUACUCCAGAUGUCUAGGGAUUAUUCAUUUUGCAUAAAUGAAAUUUAGUAACCUUUUCUUAUUAGUUCCCUUUUUCUCCUCACCAUAGCCUCUGGAAACCACCCUUUUCCUCUCUGCUUUUAUGAGUUUGACUAUUUUGAAUUCAUCAUAAACAUGAGAUCACAUUGCUAAUUGUAAACCACCUGAAAAAGAAAGAUACAAUAAAGAAAAUUA